AGUUAAUGAGCUUGAUAUAAGCAUAUGUUUUGAAAGCAUAAGAUAGAAAUCAACUUUUCUAUUAACUU
rnacentral:tRNA from 1 species